GGUUUGAUGGGAUAUAACCUAGGCUAUUGAGCGAAGCAAUAAAUGAGAGAUUACCCUGGCCUUGACCAAGAUCGUUGUAUGGUCUCUAGCCGCAGGCGAGGUCCCGAAGGACUGUGAAUGCCACAAGCUCUGUAUGCUUUGUGAUUCCCGGCUGUGAUCAAAGGUCUAUAGGGGAGAUUGCAGCCUUUUCGUCCGGCCGACAGACAUGAGGAACUACAUUUGCGACCCUCCAGUCCUCCGGAACCAUGCCGGAGUCUAUCGAUUCCUGGAACAUUGUCACCAAUGCCUCUUCUAUCUCUAAAGCCACCUCCGUCAGAACCCG